CUGCUGUACUGCUCUGUCACUUGAUUACAACCUCAGUAGUUGAAUGUUGGAUUGUCAGUGUUUGUUGCCGUCUUUCAAGAGGAAAGCAUGACUGACUGAUUUCAGCAUAUUGCAAGAUUACAAGGCGAAGACUGACUCAAUCCAGAAUGGAGAAAGCAAUACAAUUACAGACCCCCAGACUGUGAUGAUAACUAAGGAUUGUGCAAAAAAUAAAACACAAGACAAUGUGAUAUCAGCCAUUAGCAAGAAGGAGCUGGAACAGCUAAAGAACAUUCUACUGAGAGCGAACAGUGGGGCAUCAUUAUAAUGCUGGUAGCACACAACUUUUGACUGAAGAGGAUUUUGUCAAGCAGAGUAGCAGGCUGUCGAUAAUCACAACAGAUUGUCCCAAGUGGCUUGAAAUCGAUGCUUACUACACAUGUACUUAAUAGGCGUGAGACAAAAGCAUUAAAGUUUUUCAUCAACAACAAGAAGCAACCAUCAAAAAUGCCUGUAAGCCAUUAUUUACAAAGAGAAACAAAUCAAUACAUCACACACAACCAUUCAUUAAUGUAGCCUGAACAGGCUCGUUGUAGAAAUCGUGAAGAUCAGACGCCACAGAUUGUUAACACAAGCUGCGCUACAACUGAAACAGCUAAGACCCUUGACCCUCAUCAGUAUGAACCUGACCGCCCAUCUUCUGGACCUUAUGCUGAAGGCUUCCAACCUCUCUCGCCAGCAGUUCAUCCAGGAAUUCUCCAUUCCUCCUCUGGUGGCCGUGCCCAGACUCCCUAGCUCCCUGCUUCCAGUUUUUGGCCUGCUCUACGUGCUCAUCUUUGGGCUUGCAGUGGUGGGAAACGGGGCUGUGCUGGUUCUCUUAUGCCGCAGGAAGGCUCUUCAGUCUCCCAGCACCUUUUUCAUUUGCUCUCUGGCGCUCAGUGACCUCCUGAUAUCCAUAGUGUGUGUUCCUGCCACACUGCUUCAGCACUUCUUCACCAACUGGUUGGCAGGAGAUUUUCUGUGCAAGUUAAUACCAUUCUUGCAAGUGACAGCUAUCGCGACCAGCAUGCUCACCAUGACGUGUAUUGCCGUAGAGCGUUUCCAGGGAAUCCUUUAUCCUCUGCAUGUCCGCAACAGCUACUUUCUUUGUCAUGCCUUCAAGAUGUUGGUGGCUGUGUGGUUGGUUGCUCUGGCAAUUGCGGCUCCCAUGUGGUUUGUUCAGAAAGUGGAGGUGAAAUAUGACUUCCUGUUUGAUGUCCAUCACACCUGUUGUUUGGAAGUAUGGCCAAGCCAGAGGCAAAGGAGAGCCUACACUACCUGUCUGUCAGUCCUGGUGUUUCUGGCCCCCUUGGCGACCAUGGCCAUCCUGUACUGGAAGAUCAUGCGGGAGCUCUGGGGCAAACACAAAGUACAUGACGUCAUGUUUCAAACACUCCCGGGAUCUGAAAUCAACAAGAUUACCAGGAGGAAGAAGCGUGCAGUAAGAAUGAUGGCCACUGUGGUGCUGCUCUUUGCCGCCUGCUGGGCGCCUUUCCAUCUGGUCUCCCUCCUGCUUGACUAUGGUAAGCUGGACCUUGAUCUAGAUUCUGAGUUCCUCCUAGUCAGCGUGGUUCAGAUCCUGGGAUUCAGCAAUUCGGUGUGUAACCCGCUGGUUUAUGCCGCCCUCAACACCACCUUCAAAAGGGACCUGCUGGCUUUGCUUAUCCGAGGAUGUUCUGGUGCAAAAGGCUGCUGCUGUGGCUCGUGUUCCUGUUGGUCCUGGAGGAGUCACAAACGAGUGGGCAUCUCAGCAGUGGAGUCUGUGGAACCCAGACGGGGCCUAGAGACAACAUGUAGACAGGGAGGGAUCAGGUCAUGGAGCAAACCAGCGUGGGAGGCUGAACCAGAGAGGCCUACAUCUAACACCUUUCCCCCAAUGAGCCUCCUCAGCGCAAUCAGGCCCAAAAAGACCUCCAGUACUAUGAUACUAAGUGUUAUUGACCCUCCACACACAGACAGCACAUCUGGAUCUGACCGGCCUCUCACAGGCAUACUGGGAGAGUAAAUGUCAACAAAAUGAGAUUGUAAUGAUACCUGAAAUCCAUCGACUUAAUGACUUGAAAGACAAGAAUCCUUCAGGAGCUUUAAACAAUCUCAAAUAUAGCUACUGUUUUUAUUUUUUCUCCAGUGAUAUAGAUUCAACAACCUGCACGCAGCAGUUUUCAAACUUUUAAAGGGUGCUUUUUUGUUUUUAGAGCUCAAUUAAUCCAUGAUAAGGAUGGAAUGGUGUGAUCAGUGAAAGAAACUUAAGAUGUUUUUAAGGUGCUUUCAGCCUUUGAGUUUCUGAAGACCACAUAUGAACAAGACCAACCACAGUACCUCAUUAGUUUUGGUUCGGCUCUGAGGAAGUCCAAAACACAGUGGAUAGUUUAGACCAAAGACCAUAUUUUGUGUGCACCCUUCAUAAACUUUGGAGUGUGUGCAGCCUCUUGCCUCAGGGAAUGUGGUUUCUGUCUCCAUGGAUGGGCCUAAACUCUACUGGAAGUUCUUACAGUCAGCAGAAGCCUGCAGAGGCGUUUGGAAGUGCCCAGCUGAGUGAGGAUGACACACCUUCCAUAAAGCCUAACAACUCGGAUUUAUAUCAUGACAGCUUUAGGGUUUGCUACCGGCAAUGUUUUGCCAUUUCAGACAUCCUGGAGAUAGAGAUUACAUACAGACUGGCUGGCAGAACACACACGUUUGACACCUUGAUACCUCAGUCGCUCAUACUAUUAGCAGCGUUACAGUUGUUCUUAUUAUAGAAUUAAAAGAUCGUAUUUUGAAAGGUUGUUUGUUUGUAUAUUUUUCUAUUGCAAUGCACA